rnacentral:rRNA from 1 species
CCUACGGGUGGCAGCAGUGGGGAAUAUUGGGCAAUGUGCGCAAGCCUGACCCAGCAACGCCGCGUGAAGGCAGAAGGCUUUCGGGUUGUACACUUCUUUUCUCAGGGACGAAGCAAGUGACGGUACCUGAGGAAUAAGCCACGGCUAACUACGUGCCAGCAGCCGCGGUAAUACGUAGGGGGCAAGCGUUAUCCGGAUGUACUGGGUGUAAAGGGCGUGUAGGCGGGACUGCAAGUCAGAUGUGAAAAACAUGGGGUCAACCUAUGGCCUGCAUUUGAAACUGUAGUUCUUGAGUACUGGAGAGGUAGACGGAAUUCCUAGUGUAGCGGUGAAAUGCGUAGAUAUUAGGAGGAACACCAGUGGCGAAGGCGGUCUGCUGGACAGCAACUGACGCUGAGGCGCGAAAGCGUGGGGAGCAAACAGGAUUAGAUACCCCAGUAGUC